rnacentral:rRNA from 1 species
GACGAACGCUGGCGGCGUGCUUAACACAUGCAAGUCGAACGGAGUUACGUAUGAAGUAUUUCGGUACGGACUAUGUAACUUAGUGGCGAACGGGUGAGUAACACGUGGGCAACCUGCCCUUAACCGGGGGAUAACAUUGUGAAAACAGUGCUAAUACCGCAUAACAGAGUAUCGGGCAUCCGAUAUUUUUAAAAGGAGCAAUCCGGUUUUGGAUGGGCCCGCGUCCAAUUAGCUAGUUGGUGAGGUAACGGCUCACCAAGGCUACGAUUGGUAGCCGAACUGAGAGGUUGAUCGGCCACAUUGGGACUGAGACACGGCCCAGACUCCUACGGGAGGCAGCAGUGGGGAAUAUUGGGCAAUGGGCGAAAGCCUGACCCAGCGACGCCGCGUGAAGGAUGAAGGUCUUCGGAUUGUAAACUUCUUUGAUCAGGGAAGAAAGAAAUGACGGUACCUGAAGAACAAGCCACGGCUAACUACGUG